rnacentral:lncRNA from 1 species
UGAGAGUUACAUAUCAUGUAUAAAUAGAAAUUUUGAUCUUGAAAGUGAAGCCAAAACUUAAAAUAUAAUACCCCUAACUUCUUCUAAUGAAACUUCUCCUCCAUUUUACUACUAUCAGACAGAAAACUAAGACUUAUUUCCUCCAGAACUAAAUGAUUCUUCCAGUUUUCAGAGAGUCCAUAUCUUAUCUAUCUAGGGCUUUGCAAUUAAAAAUAAAUAUCAUCAUUUUAUCAAAAAAGUCCACUGACAAUUUUGCGGUACGAUUUCAAAUUAACCUAUCUAACUUUCAAAUAAUAUCACCCUCCUUUGAUCCCCUUCUAUUAAUCUGAUGAUCUAUUGACGAAGCAUUCAUCAAUAGUCUAAACAUCUGGCUAGUCUUUUUAUAUUAUCUUGGGCAAAAGUUACCUGCAACUUGCAAAUUAAUGAGACAAAAAUUAGUAAACCCUUGAGAUAUGCCUCAUAUUUGUAUGACUGAAACCUUAAGGAAUUGUGGCACCAGAAAAAAAAGAGAGAGAGAAGAAACUUGUAUACAUAUAAGCUAUAUCUGGCUUAAUAAUCAACUUGUCAUUGCCUUACUUAAAUUCAAUCUUUUUCCAAAAAAGAACUCUAAUACUCUCUCCCCAUCCGAAAACAUAAUGUUAUGGACAAAGUAAGAUGUUGGCAUUUGCAAUGCCACUUUUGAAGUAAGCAAUGUAUCAAUCUGAUAAGCUUUUUAGGACUCAACACUUCUUUUCUUCCUAUAAUAGUAGAGUUAAAAGCACUUUCAGAUGUUUGUCUUCAUCUGUCAGCCUCCCCACCUAUGGGAUCUCACUGGGUUGUUGUUGUUGUUGUUGUUGUUGUUGUUGUUGUUGUUGUUGUUGUUGUUGUUGUUGUUGUUGUUGUUGUUGUUGUUGUUAUCAUCGUCUUCAUCUGUUAGCCAUUGCUUUUUUUUUCUUACGAAAAUUAUCAUCAAUUGCCAACGGGUUUUUUGACAUAGCUUUCCAAUUGUGCCCUAUCAUCUCCUGAAGGAUAUAGAGUUGCAUCCCCAAUUUUGUGCAACUACCUAAUCCUCUUGUUCCGUGGUCCUCUCUUAAUUACCUCCGACGACUAUGACACAGUGAAGAAAAUAAGUGCCGCAAGAGAAAAAGAAAGAAAACAGAAACUUAAAAAUAGAUAUUUGAUAAUUAAACACCAAUCAUACGUGAAGUUUAAAUCGUACCAUGAGUUUCUUCUUUGCCGGAGCUUCCUCAAUGAUAGUUGAUAAUUAUACCUUUAUAAGGGUCUUUAUCACAAUAAUAUUCCAUUCACAAAUAAAUAAACUUCAUUAGAACAAAGAUGAAAAUGAUGAAGGAUUGAAACGAACGAUUUCCUUUUAAUUCCUUAUUUAUUAUGGAGAGAGCUCAUCACAUGGAAAAAAAUUGAAAAGUUGAAGGUUGUAAUGGUUCGGGUAAAGAAAAAACGUUGUAACAGUUGAAAUGUUGGUUUUCCUUUCCGUGUAUUUUGGAGACGCAAAGGCUUAAUUAUUCCAGUUUAAUACUGGAUUAUUCUAUUGAAUUGAGUGAGGAAAAAACCAAAUUGAC